rfam:Zootermopsis nevadensis contig8154, whole genome shotgun sequence.
GCCACGGUGGUCUAGCGGUCAGAACGCUGGCCUUGUAAUCCUGGGGUCUCGGGUUCGAUUCUCGGCGGUGCCC